rnacentral:tRNA from 1 species
GCCUGUGUGGUGUAAUGAUUAAGCGUUCUGCUGCUAACAGAAAGUGUGAUGGUUUGAACCCACUCAGUGGCU